AGCUGCUCCAGCCUCGUCCUCCGGCCCCACUCUCUUCUUCCUCUUCCUUCACCUUCUUUUUUGACUCUGGAAAGCCCCCUCCCUCCUGCUCCCCCCCAGGACAAAGAUGACUUUUGGAAGAUUGCCCAAAACGAUAGCUAGAGUGCGCCCUGGGCUCUGGGAGAUGGAGGAGAAAGGCGACAGGAGGAGUCAAUGGUUUGCCCAGUGGUGCCGGGAGGCGCUUUGCACGCUCCAGAUCGCAAGCCAAGCGUCUGGUGCCAAGAGCUGUCAGGCAAAAGACUGGUCAGCUGGAGAGACUUCUGGGGACGCGGAGAGGUAGAACAGGUUUGCAGAGCGCUGGCAGCCUCGGUUGACACUAAGGAUCUAUUGCCCCGCGUGCGCGCGCGCGAUGCGUGAGCUGAAUUGGGAUGGAAGGGCCUGUUGAAGAGCCAGGGAAGCAGCGUUUAGGAGAGAGUUCUCCGAGGCCACGCCGUGACGGUCGACAUUAAUAUCAGUGGAAAGACGCGUGCCCCGCAGUAAGAUCAUGAAAAGGGAUCCAGGAAAUGAAAGAGGAGAGGCGAGAAGGUAAGAAACACACACACGUGCGUGGGGAUGGGUGUCUUUCGUGGUUCAGGACUGUCAAGCUGACUGACUCUGAGACUAUAGAAGAGACCACGCUAAUGCAACAACCCUCGACAACGGCGUCCUUAAACCCAGCAAAGCGGAAAGCUAAUGCCCUUUCCUUUCCGCCCGGAUGCAAGACUGGAUGGAAGGCUUCCAACAUGAUGAAAUACGGUGCAGAAGAAUGGUCUGGGCAGAAGGAGCGCUGGGUACUAAAGUUGCAUGACCAAAGAGAUCCGAGAGCUGUCUGCCACACCCCCUUCCUGCCUGGUUCCCUUUCUGACUGGCCUGGUCGCUCCCAUGGACUAUGAUGAACACGACUGCAGCGCCCCCUGCUGUGGGGAAGCUACAGGGCACAGAAAACAGGUCCUUGCAGGGCUGACUUCCAACUUCCCCGUGGAAAGAGCAGUACCUAACCAGCAAACUCUUCAAAGAUAAUAAGGAAAGAAGACUCCCUGGGUAUGUGGCAGCGAUCUGAAAAGUUUUGAACGCCUGCAGAAUAAAGAUGUCUGACUUCACAAAGAAAUCUUUUGGAAACUGACAAAUAUUUUACAACUACAAAAGUAUUUAAAACUUAGCCUGCAAAAUAAAAACAUCUUCAUAAUAGUUAUGAAGACCUGUUCUAACGUAUACAAGCUAAAGAACUGAUUAUGUAACAUGAAAGCUGUGAAGGUGAGAUCUUAAUUUUCUUGGCAACGGGUUGCAGACCUUGGGUUGAAGAAAGCAAAUGGUUGCUGAGGGCCAUGCACAAGGAACAACCAAAGGUUUUAGAACUCAUGGAAUGUAGUCCACUGGUUACCACAGCCACACUGGGUUUUUCCUCUGUAGUGAAUGACCCUGAGGAUCACGUGUCCUGAGGACUUCGCGCUGUAAUGGAGUGCUGCUCUCUGCUUGCUGCUCUCACAUCCCUCUUAAUCUAAGAAAACUCUAAAGAGGCUUCCAGACUCUCACUGGGCAGUAUCUCUGGCACUCGCAACAAUAAUGCUUGAUCCCUUUCAGGCAUUGCUGCUGGAAGAGAUUACUGAUUCAACACCACCCUAGGAAAGAAUCUAGAGACGUAGAUUGUCAGUUAUGACAACCACCCUUGGAAAGUAUUUGGAAAAAUAAAAUUGUUAGUGAAGCUAGGUUAAGAAGUUUUUGCUACAGGCUCCAAUGUAGAUAAUCUUAGGGAAUAAUUUGAAGUUCAGAAAGGCACACUUUUAUUUGUUAAGCUAGGAACCUUUUAUGAUUAGGGAACAAGAACAAUGGCAGCACUGGCUGACAAUUCACAAUGAGUCUGGACUGGUUAUGAUUUCUUUCUUUCUUUUUCACUUUACAUCCCUCUCACUUCCCCCUUUCUGAUCACCCUCUCCCACAAUCCUUCCCCCAUCCUCUAUCCCCUUCUCUUCUAAGCAAGUGAGAGCCCCCUUGGGUAUACCCCCACCCUGAUACUUGCCAGGCUAGGCACUUCCUAUCCCACUGAGACCAGACAAAGCAAGCCAGCUAGAAGACCAUAUACCACAUACAUGCAACAGCUUUUGGGAUAGCCCCAUUCCUGUUGUUCAGGACCCAUAUGAAGACCAAGCUGUUCAUCUGCUACACGUGAGCUGAUAGACCUACCCAUCUGUGUAUGUUUUUUGGAAUGGCAGUUGACGCUCCGAGAGCCUCAAGGGUCCAGAUUAGUUGACUUUGAUGGUCUUCCUAUGGAGUUCAAUUCCCAUCAGGGCCCACAAUCCUUCCUCCUAUUCUUCCAUGAGUCCCCAAGCUCCAUCCACUGUUUCGCUGUGUGUGUCUAUAUCUGUCUGAGUCAGCUGCUGGGUGGAGCCUCUCAGAGGACAGCCAUGCUAGACUCUUGUCUGCAAGCAUAACAGAGUAUCAUUAAUAGUGUUAGGGAUUGGUGCUUGCCCAUGGAAUGAGUCUCAAGUUGGGCCAGUUAUUGGUAGGCUAUUCCAAAAAUACAUAUUUUUGCUUUUACCUUUCUGAUAUGGUUUAAUAAGAAUUGCUGGUGAGGAGAUAUGCAUUCUGAGGAUUUAAAGUAGGUCUGACUGAUUUUUAUAGAAAAAUUGAGAUUUGUGUUUCUUUUAAGAUUCAUACAAGAAAGUACUUGGUCUUUCUUUUGUAACCACAAAUCACUGCCUACCAGUAGGAGAAACCGGCUGAGAGAGCUGCCUCGCUUACUUAUACUUUGUUAACCUACAACAAGUUGCUUAGUUACAAAUGUACGUAGGUUCUUAGGAAUCAUUUAUUUAUUUAUUUAUUUACCUACACUACCUAACGUUAUUUCUUGUAAAGGUAUUGGGGAACACAGUGUUUCUUCAUAGUCGUUUCCUGGAAAAAAAAAACUAGAUCAUAAUCAUACUGUAAUUUUAUACGGCUUGAAAGAUUUUGCUGGGAUAUAUAUGCCAUAAGAGAAGGAAUAAAGUUGUUGGGACACUGUUCCUGCUAUCCAUCAA
ensembl:processed_transcript predicted gene 15663